AUUGUUUAUUUAUUUAUUUUGAGAGAGAGAGUGAGAGAGAGCCCAGGAGAGGGGCAGAAAGAGGGGGGGAGAGACAGAAUCCCAAGCAGGCUCCAUGCUGUCAGCAGAGAUCCCAAUGUGGGGCUCGAACUCCUGCACCGCGAGAUCAUGACCUGAGCCAAAGUCAGCUGCUUCGCUGAUUGAGCCACACAGGUGCCCCUGAUUUACAUUUUUUUAAAAGAUCAUUUCUGGGGCGCCUGGAACAGACCUUAGGCAGUAAGGGUGGAAGUGGGGGCCAGCCAAGAGGCCACUGCAGUAGUCCAAGCAAGAGGUGAAUGGAGACAGGAGCAGGGAUGGGGCAAUGGAAAAUGGUGAGAAGUGCUCAGAUUAUGAGUCUGUUUUGAAGGUUGAGACAAUAGCUCAGGAAACUAAAAGGAUGGGAAGGCCAAUUAUGGAGACAGGGAGACUGGGAAAGUGAUAGAUUUGAAAGGGCAAGUGCAGCGGGCUGAAGAGAGCCCCCCACUCCACACGCACCCCUCCAAAAUUCAUGCCCUGAUCCCUGAAACUUGUGAAUCUGUUAUUUUAUAUGGUAAAAGGAAGGCAUGAUUAAGUUAAGAAUCUUGAGACAGGGCGAUUAUUCUGGAUGAUCAAGAUGGGCCCAAUGCAAUGACAAGGGUCCUGUUAGCUAGAAGGCAGGGGGUCAGUCAGUAGGAGAUGUGACAGUGGAUGCAAGAGUGAUUCAAAGAAGCCAAGGAAUGUGGUGGCUUCUGGAAGCUGGGAAAGCCUUGGAAAUGGAUUCUCCCCUAGAGCCUCCAGAAGGAGCCCAGCCUUGUGGACCCAUUUUAGACUUCUGGUCGGCAGAAC